GUUCCUACAAUGAAUAUGCUACAGCCAACAUACACUUCAGGGUUCCGGAUGGCUAGAAGAUCGAGUUAUGGUGUAGUCAAACUAUAACACACUCAAGGUGAACCGACGAUGCACCUCAGGUCAAAGAACUAGACACACAACUGCAGCAUCGAGCUAGUCAUCGAUGAGAAGGUAGACUUCCUUAUGACUGCUCGAGGUGGUCACG
rnacentral:lncRNA from 1 species